GCCGGUAUGGCGCAAUUGGUAGCGCAACUGUUUUGUACUCAGUUGGUUACGGGUUCGAAUCCUGUUACCGGCU
rnacentral:tRNA from 1 species